AGCGAACGCUGGCGGCAGGCCUAACACAUGCAAGUCGAACGAAGUCUUCGGACUUAGUGGCGGACGGGUGAGUAACACGUGGGAACGUGCCUUUAGGUUGGGCAUAACUCAGGGAAACAUGUGCUAAUACCGAAUGUGCCCUUUGGGGGAAAGAUUUAUCGCAUUUAGAGCGGCCCGCGUCUGAUUAGUUAGUUGGUGAGGUAAAGGCUCAUCAAGGCGACGAUCAGUAGCUGGUCUGAGAGGAUGAUCAGCCACAUUGGGACUGAGACACGGCCCAAACUCCUACGGGAGGCAGCAGUGGGGAAUCUUGCGCAAUGGGCGAAAGCCUGACGCAGCCAUGCCGCGUGAAUGAUGAAGGUCUUAGGAUUGUAAAAUUCUUUCACCGGGGACGAUACUGACGGUAUCCGGAGAAGCAGCCCCGGCUAACUUCGUGCCAGCCGCCGCAGUAA
rnacentral:rRNA from 1 species